GAUGAACGCUAGCGGCAGGCUUAAUACAUGCAAGUCGAGGGGCAGCACGGUUAGCAAUAACUGGUGGCGACCGGCGCACGGGUGCGUAACACGUAUACAAUCUACCUUAAACAGGGGGAUAGCCUUUCGAAAGAGAGAUUAAUACCCCGUAAUAAAUUGAACGGCAUCGUUUGAUUUUGAAAGCUCCGGCGGUUUGAGAUGAGUAUGCGUCUGAUUAGCUAGUUGGUGAGGUAACGGCUCACCAAGGCGACGAUCAGUAGGGGAUCUGAGAGGACUAACCCCCACACUGGUACUGAGACACGGACCAGACUCCUACGGGAGGCAGCAGUAAGGAAUAUGGUCAAUGGAGGCAACUCUGAACCAGCCAUGCCGCGUGCAGGAUGACGGCCCUAUGGGUUGUAAACUGCUUUUAUACAAGAGAAAACCCUGGUACGUGUACCAGGUUGAUAGUAUUGUAAGAAUAAGCAUCGGCUAAACUUCGUGCCAGCAGCCGCGGU
rnacentral:rRNA from 1 species